rnacentral:misc_RNA from 1 species
GAUGAAGAACGUAGCAAAAUGCGAUAAGUAAUGUGAAUUGCAGAAUUCAGUGAAUCAUCGAAUCUUUGAACGCACAUUGCGCCCGCUGGUAUUCUGGCGGGCAUGCCUGUUCGAGCGUCAUUACAACCCUCAGGCCCCCGGGCCUGGCGUUGGGGAUCGGCGGAGCCCCCCGUGGGCACACGCCGUCCCCCAAAUACAGUGGCGGUCCCGCCGCAGCUUCCAUCGCGUAGUAGCUAACACCUCGCGACUGGAGAGCGGCGCGGCCACGCCGUAAAACACCCAACUCUUCUGAAGUUGACCUCGAAUCAGGUAGGAAUACCCGCUGAACUUAAGCAUAUCAAUAAGCGGAGGA